UGCGUAGGAAUCUGCCUAGUAGUGGGGGNCAACUCGGAGAAAUCCGAGCUAAUACCGCAUACGCCCUNCGGGGGAAAGCGGGGGCUCUUCGGCCCUNNAANUUAAGGGGUGNGCCUNUUUUNGAUUAGCUAGUUGGUGGGGUAAAGGCCUNCCAAGGCGACGAUCUAUANCUGGUCUGAGAGGAUGAUCAGCCNCNCUGGGACUGAGACACGGCCCAGACUCCUACGGGAGGCAGCAGUGGGGAAUAUUGGACAAUGGGCGAAAGCCUGAUCCAGCAAUACCGCGUGUGUGAAGAAGGCCUGAGGGUUGGGAAGCACUUUCAAUUGGGAGGAAAAAGCAUCGGCCAAUACCCGGUGUNCGNGUCAUUNCCCCAAAAGAAG
rnacentral:rRNA from 1 species